rnacentral:rRNA from 1 species
UACGUAGGGUCCAAGCGUUAUCCGGAAUCACUGGGCGUAAAGCGUGCGUAGGUGGCGUGUUAAGUGUGAUGUUAAAUCGUGGGGCUCAACCCUGUCGCUGCAUCACAUACUGGCACACUAGAGGACGGUAGAGGCAAGUGGAAUUUGUAGUGUAGCAGUGAAAUGCGUAGAGAUUACAAGGAACACCAAUGGCGAAGGCAGCUUGCUGGGCCAAUCCUGACACUGAGGUACGAAAGCGUGGGGAGCGAACAGG